rnacentral:rRNA from 1 species
UGGGGAAUUUUGCGCAAUGGGCGAAAGCCUGACGCAGCAACGCCGCGUGCGGGACGAAGGCCUUCGGGUUGUAAACCGCUUUCAGCAGGAACGAAAUCAGACGGUACCUGCAGAAGAAGCCCCGGCCAACUACGUGCCAGCAGCCGCGGUGAUACGUAGGGGGCGAGCGUUGUCCGGAUUUAUUGGGCGUAAAGAGCUCGUAGGCGGUUCGAUUAGUCAGGUGUUAAAACUCCAGGCUCAACUUGGAGAGGCCACCUGAUACUGUCGUGACUAGAGUCCGGUAGAGGAGCAUGGAAUUCCUGGUGUAGCGGUGAAAUGCGCAGAUAUCAGGAGGAACACCAGCGGCGAAGGCGGUGCUCUGGGCCGGAACUGACGCUGAGGAGCGAAAGCGUGGGGAGCGAACAG